rnacentral:lncRNA from 1 species
UUGCUAGAAUUAAAUUUAGUAAUCAAUUGUUACUAAUUCGGAAAGGUCAAACGAAAAAUUCAAAAAUUAGUUAAUCCGUUUAAAUUUGCAUUUAGGUUAUUUUAAAUAUUGAAUUUGUGUGAUUUCUAGUGAUUAUAUCCACUAACUAAUAGUGUCUAAGAAAAGCUUGUCAAAAAGGCAUACGUGCCUAAGAAAGGCUGGUACUUAAGUGAGCCUAGUG